rnacentral:misc_RNA from 1 species
GAUGAAGAACGUAGUGAAAUGCGAUAAGUAAUGUGAAUUGCAGAAUUCAGUGAAUCAUCGAAUCUUUGAACGCACAUUGCGCCCAUUAGUAUUCUAGUGGGCAUGCCUGUUCGAGCGUCAUUAAGUCCACUUAAGCCCUGCUUAGUGUUGGGAGACUGCUCCAGCGGUGCUACCCUGUAGCUACCCUGCAGCUCCUCAAAGACAGCGGCGGAGUUGUGGUAUCCUCUGAGCUUAGUAACUUGUUCUAGCUUUCGAGUACACCACUUCCCCUGCCGUAAAACCCUUAAUUUUUAAUGGUUGACCUCGGAUCAGGUAGGAAUACCCGCUGAACUUAAGCAUAUCAAUAAGCGGACGA